AGGGCCAAACCGGCCCACGGAGAUGACGUCACACGAAGAAGCGGAAGUCCCGCCUCCGCCGCCCUGGCCCGCAGAAAACUCUCCUGUCCUGGGUCGUCAAUGGCCCAGAGUCCGCGGCCGACGCAAGGGGCAGUGCCUUCUGGGUAAUGCAGUUUUUCCCUUACAUCUACCGGGUGUGGGAACUCACCCAGCGCAUCCGACUGCACGUAAGUGCGCACCAGAACCCCCGCGUCGUCUUAGGGCCACCGCCUUAGUAUAGGCACAAGUCGGAGGGUCGAAAGGUCCCUUCUAGCUCAGGAAAAUCGAGGUCAGGAGGCGGGGAUAUUCGCCCCGAUUCAGACCCCGAACAAAGGUGCUUACCCUGCUGUGGGCUGGGCCCGCGACUUCUCGCUUGCUUUGCCUCUUUUCUGGAUCUUUUCAUAGAAGAAAAGGAUAAAUGAGCAGUUAAAAUAGCCACCCAAAGGAGGACGCCUGACAGUGUGCCCAGCCUGCUGGGAAAGGACAGACCGCCCUCUAUUGGGCCUCCUUUGGCCGGGCCCAGCCUUCGUAGGAUGCAGGGACUUCCGGGUGAUGUAAUAGGCUUCGCGUUCGCCACGUGUGGACUUCCCGUACCCUGAGGUGGGGAGGCUGCUAGUGGAGCAGGCUUGCCGGGAAGCCCAGUACUCCCAUUUCAAGCAUGAUCAGUUUGAAACGUCAGUAAGACCACAAAGCGUAGUGCCAUAUACUCAACCUAUGAUUCAACAUUGGCAGAGGGUUCGAGCGUGGAUAUAUAAAUUUGGGAGUUAUUACUGUAAACUGUUACUUCAAGUCAUGAUAUUGGGUGAGGCUAUGAAAAGAAUGAGCGUAGAUGGAUAAGUGACGGGAAAGAGGGGAACCCUGGCCCAACCCAGCAUUAACUGGUUGCAGACAGGAGAGUUUAUAAAGUCUUGUUAGGAAUUUUAACAAUCCUAGACUAUGCAAAGAUUAUAUUAUGCGAAGUCUUAGGAGUCCCCAUCAGUAACUUUUUUUUUUUCUUUUCAUGACUAUGAAAGUGAGAGAAUAAAGUCCAGCUUUCAAUGGUUUGACGAUAUAUAUGGUUAAGGAAAUAGAAAGGUGUGCAGAAAGUACUCUCCAAGAGAUUUAAUUUUGAGAUUGAAAAUAGUCAAGGAAUGGAGAUGGAGUCAAUUUCCUACACGAUGCGGUACUUUUGGAGAAAUAUUUUUGGCUAAAUUAGUGUGCAAGGAACACUGUUAUUCAUCACUGGCAAUAGUAAUUUUUGAAAAUUGAUAAAGACAUCAUUCUCUUUUUCACAUAUUUGUGACUCUUAAAUUUUUUUUUUUUUUUUUUUUUUUUGAGAUGGAGUUUCACUCUUGUUGCCCAGGCUGGAGAGCAGUGGCACAGUCUCCACUCACUGCAACCUCCGCCUCCCGGGUUCAAGCGAUUCUCCUGCCUCAGCCUCCUGAGUAGCUGGGAUUACAGGUGUGCGCCACCACGCCUGGCUAAUUUUAUAUUUUUAGUAGAGACAGGGUUCUUCCAUGUUGUUCAGGCUGGUCUCAAACUCCCGACCUCAGGUGAUCCACCCACCUCGGCCUCCCAAAGUGCUAGGAUUACAGACGUGAGCCACCCCCUCUGGCCAGACUCUUAUAAUUAAAUUUAAAUGGUUUUUUCAGAGGCAUAUGAACCAGAGCAACUCUAUCUUAAAUAGGAGCUGGGUAAAAUGAAGCUAAAACCUACUAGGCUGCAUUCCCAGACAGUUAAGGCAUUCUGAGUCACAGGAUGAGAUAGGAGGUCAGCACAAAAUACGGAUCAUAAAGACCUUGCUGAUAAAACAGGUUGCAGUAAAGGAGCUGGCCAAAACCACCAAAACCAAAAUGGUGACAAGAGUGACCUCUGGUCUUCCUCACUGCUACACUCCCAUCAGUGCCACGACAGUUUACAAAUGCCAUGGCAAUGUCAGGGAGUUACCCUAUGUGGUCUGAAAAGGGGAGGCAUGAACAAUCCACCCCUUGUUUAGCAAGUCACUAAGAAAUAACCAUAAACAUGGGCACCCAGCAACCCUUGGGGCUGCUCUGUCUAUGGAGUAGCCAUUCUUUAUUCCUUUACUUUCUUAAUAAACUUGCUUUCACUUGCACUGUGGACUCGCCCUGAAUUAUUUCUUGUGCGAGAUCCAAGAACCCUCUCUUGGGAUAUGGAUUGGGACCCCUUUCCUGUAACACAUUCCUGGCCACUACAGAAGAGACUAUACUGCAGGAACCCGUGACCCAAAGGCUAACUUUGGGUAAGUGGUGGGGUCGGGUAACACUUUUCUCGCAAACCACAAAAGGGACAAUGCUGAGGAGACCCCCCUGACUCAAAGGAAAUAGACUGCAGCACUGAUUGGAUGACUUUGGGUAAGUGGUGGGGUACCCAGGUAAAGAAUGGGAUUGGGAUAGACGCUCAAGUUAGGGGAGUUAGAGUCUCUCCUAAGGCAGAGUGGAUUAGAGGCCCCUCUUAAUAAAAGGCAAGGACGCUUGACUGACCUUGGGUUAGAGGCCCAACUUAGGAGGAUUAGAGUCCCUUCUAAGAUUUAGGGGGUUAGAGACCCCUCUCAGUAAAGUCCCUCUUGGCUAAGAAGAGGUUUGGCACCGUGGGAUGUUAACUGCUAUUGUCUUUGGAUUAAUCUGCCUUGCACUCUUUGCUGAUGGCUCCGGGCGACAGGGUUAGGCGUGUACAGGAUCGUGGGACAUGGGGAGCUUUUUCCUCCCCCAAAAGGGGAAACUUGAGAGCUGACGGGACUGCUGGAAAAAAAUCCCUUCACGACAGCAGCCGUAGCCGCCUGAACUUUUCAGUGUCACUGCAAUGGGUGGGUCUUUCUCUGGCCUCCCUGAUCAUUUUGCCUUCCCUGGGAAAGUAUUGCUUGUGGAAAAUAUUUCCUGGGAAAGUAUUGCCUGC
rnacentral:lncRNA from 1 species